CCUACGGGUGGCAGCAGUCGAGAAUCAUUCACAAUGGGGGAAACCCUGAUGGUGCGACGCCGCGUGGGGGAAUGAAGGUCUUCGGAUUGUAAACCCCUGUCAUGUGGGAGCAAAUUAAAAAGAUAGUACCACAAGAGGAAGAGACGGCUAACUCUGUGCCAGCAGCCGCGGUAAUACAGAGGUCUCAAGCGUUGUUCGGAAUCACUGGGCGUAAAGCGUGCGUAGGCUGUUUCGUAAGUCGUGUGUGAAAGGCGCGGGCUCAACCCGCGGACGGCACAUGAUACUGCGAGACUAGAGUAAGGGAGGGGGAACCGGAAUUCUCGGUGUAGGAGUGAAAUGCGUAGAUAUCGAGAGGAACACUCGUGGCGAAGGCGGGUUCCUGGACAUUAACUGACGCUGAGGCACGAAGGCCAGGGGAGCGAAAGGGAUUAGAUACCCCUGUAGUC
rnacentral:rRNA from 1 species